UACGAAGGGGGCUAGCGUUGUUCGGAAUUACUGGGCGUAAAGCGUGCGCAGGCGGCUAUCCAAGUCAGUGGUGAAAGCCCGGAGCUCAACUCCGGAACUGCCAUUGAAACUGUUUAGCUCGAGUACGAGAGAGGUGAGUGGAUUUCCCAGUGUAGAGGUGAAAUUCGUAGAUAUUGGGAAGAACACCGGUGGCGAAGGCGGCUCACUGGCUCGUAACUGACGCUCAUGCACGACAGCGUGGGGAUCAAACAGG
rnacentral:rRNA from 1 species